UGUCAGGUCGGCUCGGCUCAAACAAGCCAAGUCGAUUCCCUUCUUCUCUCAUCCAUCCGACUCGUCGUGCCAGGGAAGGGGGAAGGGAGUGCCGGCCAUGGAUCCAAACCCUAACCCCAAUCCCACCUCCACCGACGCCCAACCCGAAGCCGAGCCAGAAGCGAGGCUCGCCGCCCUCUCCCUCAGCAGGGACCUCCCCCCGGACUUCGCCGGUGCCGAGAUCGACGACGACGUUGACGCGGACGCGGAGGCCGAGGAGGAGGAGGAGGGCUACCUUACGGCGGUGUCCAGAGGCGGGAGCAGCAGCUGCGCAGCAGCCGCGUGGAAGGAGGCGUCCGAGGGCCUCGACGACGAAGAGAAGGACGUGGCCCCGCCCAGCCCCAGCAGCAGCGGCUACGCCGGCGAGCGGGGAAGCAGCCUCGCCUCCAGCGCCGGCAUCGAGGAGCCCGAACCCGAACCCGAACCGGACGGCGUAGGCGUGCAUGAUUGGGCGCGCGAUAAGAAGCAUCUCGACGAGGACGAUGCUUCAGCUUCAUGGAGGAAGAGGAAAAAACAUUUCUUCAUUUUGAGCAAUUCUGGCAAGCCAAUAUAUUCUAGGUAUGGAGAUGAGCACAAGCUAGCUGGGUUUUCUGCUACACUGCAGGCGAUCAUUUCCUUUGUUGAGAACAGGUUCUAUGCCAGUGGUGAUCGUAUCAAAUUUGUGAGGGCUGGCAAACAUCAGAUAAUUUUCCUUGUGAAGGGGCCAAUAUAUUUAGUCUGUAUAAGCUGCACUGAAGAGUCAUAUGAAGGAUUGAGGGGACAGCUAGAGCUCAUGUAUGGUCAGAUUUUGCUUAUUUUGACAAAAUCAGUCAACAGGUGCUUUGAGAAGAAUCCCAAAUUUGAUAUGGCGCCAUUGCUUGGUGGCACGGAUGCAGUUUUCCUAUCUCUUAUACAUGCAUUCAACUGGAAUCCUGCUACAUUUCUUCAGGCUUACACAUGCCUUCCCCUUGCUCAAUCAACAAGGCAGGCGGCUAGUGCAGUUUUGCAGGACAUUGCUGACUCAGGAGUUUUAUUUGCACUUUUGAUGUGUGAGCACAAGGUUAUUAGUCUUGUGGGAGCACAGAAGGCAACUCUGCAUCCUGAUGAUAUUUUGUUACUUGCGAAUUUCAUACUGUCCUCUGAAUCUUUUAGGACUUCGGAGUCUUUUUCACCCAUAUGUUUGCCAAGAUACAAUCCUAUGGCCUUCCUAUAUGCUUAUGUUCAUUUUUUUGAUGAACAUACGUAUGUAAUUCUGCUUACUACGAGAUCAGAUGCCUUCUAUGAUCUCAAAGAUUCCAGGGCUCGCAUUCAGAAUGUUCUUCUAAAGUCAAAUGUCCUUAUUGAAGUCCAAAGAUCUUUGUGCGAGAGCGCACUGCGUGUUGAAGAUCUCCCCACUGAUCCGUCUUCUCGAUCUGAAUCACAACCUCUGCAGUCUUCUCAAGACAUGAGUUCUCAAUCUCCUGAAAUGGCAAUCGGAGGUCCGGCUGGACUUUGGCAUUUUAUAUACAAAAGCGUCUAUCUGGACCAGUAUGUAUCAUCUGAAUUUCCCUUGCCGAUAAAUAACCCAAAGCAACAAAAGAGACUGUACAAAGCUUAUCAAAAGUUCUAUGCCUCCAUGCAUGACAAAGCAACUGGUCCACACAAAACUCAAUUUAGAAGAGGCGAGGAUUAUGUUCUAUUUUGCUGGAUAACACAGGAUUUUGAGCUAUAUGCAGCCUUUAAUCCAUUGGCCGACAAGACCCAAGCGAUCAAGAUAUGCAAUAGAGUAUGCCAAUGGAUCAGGGAUUUAGAAAAUGAAAUAUUCGUAUAUGGAGAAAGCACCCUUUCCUGGUGAUAUUUUGUCUUGUAUGCAGUACCACCAUUGUUGGGGAGAUAUGUGAGGGAUUUAGAUUAAACUGAGUUUCUAUUUGACUGAUCGAAUCUGAGGUUGUAUGAGCGGAUACAGGAAUUAAGAUUGUGAUUGUUUGUUUGUAUUAAAAUGAUUAUGUGACAGUAAUAAGUGGACUCGUCUUUAUGAACGUAUGUAGGAGUCUGUAUUUACUAGAUCAGACUGUGGAUGUAUAUUUGUAUCUGCUGAGACAAGCUAAAACAAUACAUAUGAACAAUUAAA